UCCCUGGUGGUCUAGUGGUUAGGACUUGGCACUUUUACCACUGUGAUCCAGGUUCAAUCCCUGAUCAGGGAA
rnacentral:tRNA from 1 species